GACGAACGCUGGCGGCGUGCUUAACACAUGCAAGUCGAACGGAAAGGCCUCUUUCGGGGGGUACUCGAGUGGCGAACGGGUGAGUAACACGUGAGUAACCUGCCCUUGACUUUGGGAUAACUUCAGGAAACUGGGGCUAAUACCUGAUAGCAGCUCCUGCUUCAUGGUGGGGGUUGGAGAGUUUCGGCGGUUGGGGAUGGGCUGGCGGCUUAUCAGCUUGUUGGUGGGGUAGUGGCUUACCAAGGCUUUGACGGGUAGCCGGCCUGAGAGGGUGACCGGCCACAUUGGGACUGAGAGACGGCCCAGACUCCUACGGGAGGCAGCAGUGGGGAAGAUUGCACAAUGGGUGGAAGCCUGAUGCAGAAACGCCGUGGGCGGGAUGACGGCCUUGGGGUUGUAAACCGCUUUCGCUCAUGACGAAGGUUUGUGUGACGGUAGUGGGUAAAGAAGCACCGGCUAACUACGUG
rnacentral:rRNA from 1 species